CUGGAUGAUGGGUGUGUGUGUGCUGGAUGAUGGGUGUGUGUGUGCUGGAUGAUGGGUGUGUGUGUGCUGGAUGAUGUGUGUGUGAGUGUGUGCUGGAUGAUGUGUGUGUGAGUGUGUGCUGGAUGAUGGGUGUGUGAGUGCUGGAUGAUGGGUGUGUGAGUGCUGGAUGAUGGGUGUGUGAGUGAGUGCUGGAUGAUGGGUGUGUGAGUGCUGGAUGAUGGGUGUGUGAGUGCUGGAUGAUGGGUGUGUGUGUGUGCUGGAUGAUGUGUGUGUGAGUGUGUGCUGGAUGAUGGGUGUGUGAGUGCUGGAUGAUGGGUGUGUGUGUGCUGGAUGAUGUGUGUGUGAGUGUAUGUGUGCUGGAUGAUGGGGAGGGGAAGCAUUUUUUUUUAACCUUAUGUGUAUGUAUAUUUUUUAUUUUAUUCCCCCCUCCCUGCUUCUUACCUUGUCAG